UACGGAGGGUGCAAGCGUUAAUCGGAAUUACUGGGCGUAAAGCGUGCGCAGGCGGUUUGUUAAGUCUGCUGUGAAAUCCCCGAGCUCAACUUGGGAAUUGCAGUGGAUACUGGCAAGCUGGAAUACGGUAGAGGAAGGUGGAAUUCCCGGUGUAGCAGUGAAAUGCGUAGAUAUCGGAAGGAACACCAGUGGCGAAAGCGGCUUCCUGGUCCGACACCGACGUUCAGGCACGAAAGCGUGGGGAGCAAACAGG
rnacentral:rRNA from 1 species